AUUUCAUGGGGUUGCUUAUCGGUGUUUUAAGGUACCAUCCUGGGAUGUCUGGGCGGGGCGGGUAGCUUCAUCAUCGGGCCGCUCAUCGUCCGGUCCCGGGCAGCCAACCACACCGGGCACCACAACGGCAGCGGGUUUCUUUUCGAUGAUGCAGUCCGGUUGUCUAGAAACGAAACAGAAUGGAAGACUGAAAGGGACGAGAUUAUGAUUUUGAUGUACACUGAGUUUGCCCUGAGCGCAGCCCUGUUCCUGGCCACCGUUAUCUA